UAACCCGCGUUAGCCUCAGCUGUGUUCAUUAGUUAUGCUCAACUCCUGAAAAACAACAAUCGCAUUGGAAAACUGCAAAGCAGCCCCUCUUUCAGUCUUUCCAUUUGGAAACCAAUUCAUUUCUUCUUCAGCCACUCUUGAAGAUGGGUCUGAAACUUCUACUCAUCGUCGGUUUGUUUCCACCUAUUCCGCCGCAUAUGGAGGAACCCCAUUUAUCAAAUAAGUAUUUUCCCCUCUUUUUAGUCCCUCAGUAGCUAGGGUAUGUGCAACCCUAUUCGAUUCUUUGUGGGUAAAUCGAAAGAAAAAUGAACAGAUUCUAGUACAUAAACGCUUUGAAUCUUCAAUAUAUGCUUCAAUCUCAGAUCUAUUUUCCUCCUCUGUCAGCAGUUUCCUUAUCACCGAUCGUGUGUCUCCUUCAAUUUUGACCAUCAACAACCGGAGAUUUAUCCCCAACCGGAUCGCCUGAAGACACGCCAUCGCCUCCGAUGUGAACACUGACGAUAUGUUCUCAUGCAGUAUUGUUCUCAUGCAGCAUCAAAUUUUAUCUGAACAGUCGUCCUACUUGGUGCUUUCCAUCUUCCCGGGCUCUUUAUCUGAACUAGUAAGUUCGCAGUCAACCCAUCCAGGUCUUUUAAGUAGUUCUGCACAUAAUCUGCUAUUUGGGAUCCUGAUUUUUGCUCUCCCUCAUGAAUAAACUUAUUUCUUGAUGAUCAAAUUGCCCAAAUAGCAUAUGCAAUCAUCCUGCAUUUGUAUAAAGGAUAAGUAUCAAAAAUAUUGUUUAUCCAUUCUCUGUAUUCAGUAUUUGCCACUGCUAUCGGCCAAGUAACAUGUAAUUUCUCCCAUGUUUCUUUUGUGAUAAGGCAGUCCCUAAACACAUGCUCACUCAUUUCAGCUUCAUUCUGGCACCUUGGGCAAUUUGCAGAUCCAGCCAAUCUUUUGUAGUGCAGGUUGUUGAAAGUAGGCAAAAAAUUACAUGAAAUUCUCCAACUUGUAAUGUUUACUUUUGAGGGUAGAUCUAAGUUCGAAAGCGGCUUGUAAAACUGUUUGUAAUUUAUCAGCAUAAGAGUAUGUACAUCUUGUAAUUAUAGUUUAUACCCAUUACGAACUGAGUAAUCCUCCGUAGCCUCCCCAGGCUAGAUAAUGUGGUCUUCGUGCGAGUUCAUCAAUAGAGGAAUGCACAAAAUUCUUCCAGCAUCUACCUCUGUAAAG
rnacentral:lncRNA from 1 species